CCCUUAGAUGUCCGGGGCCGCACGCGCGCUACACCGAGGGGAUCAAUGUGUGUCUCUCCUGACCCGUCAGGGUUGGGUAACCCGUUGAACCUCCCUCGUGCUUGGGAUCGGGGCUUGAAAUUCUUCCCCGUCAACGAGGAAUUCCCAGUAAGUGCGAGUCAUCAGCUCGCAUUGAUUACGUCCCUGCCCUUUGUACACACCGCCCGUCGCUACUACCGAUUGGAUGGUUUAGUGAGGACGUUGGACCGGCAGCCGGCGAGGUUUCCGAGCUGGCACGUCGGGAAGACGUUCGAACUUGAUCAUCUAGAGGGAGUAAAAGUCGUAACA
rnacentral:rRNA from 1 species